GACUAACGCUGGCGGCGUGCCUAACACAUGCAAGUCGAGCGGGGUAGCAAUACCCAGCGGCAGACGGGUGAGUAACACGUAGUCAACCUUCCCGAUAGUGGGGGAUAACUAGCCGAAAGGUUAGCUAAUACCGCAUACGAUCUAUGAGGGGCAUCUCUUAUAUAUGAAAGGAGCAAUCCGCUUUCGGACGGGACUGCGUCCCAUUAGCUAGAUGGUGGGGUAAUGGCCUACCAUGGCGACGAUGGGUAGCUGGUUUGAGAGAGCGACCAGCCACACUGGGACUGAGAAACGGCCCAGACUCCUACGGGAGGCAGCAGUGAGGAAUUUUCCGCAAUGGGCGAAAGCCUGACGGAGCGACGCCGCGUGUGGGAAGAAGGCCUUCGGGUCGUAAACCACUGUCGAAGGGGAAGAUAAUGACGGUACCCUUGGAGGAAGCCCCGGCUAACUACGUGCCAGCCGCCGCGGUAACAC
rnacentral:rRNA from 1 species